GACGAACGCUGGCGGCGUGCUUAACACAUGCAAGUCGAACGGAAAGGCCCUGCUUUUGUGGGGUGCUGGAGUGGCGAACGGGUGAGUAACACGUGAGUAACCUGCCCUUGACUUUGGGAUAACUUCAGGAAACUGGGGCUAAUACCGGAUAGGAGCUCCUGCUGCAUGGUGGGGGUUGGAAAGUUUCGGCGGUUGGGGAUGGACUCGCGGCUUAUCAGCUUGUUGGUGGGGUAGUGGCUUACCAAGGCUUUGACGGGUAGCCGGCCUGAGAGGGUGACCGGCCACAUUGGGACUGAGAUACGGCCCAGACUCCUACGGGAGGCAGCAGUGGGGAAUAUUGCACAAUGGGCGGAAGCCUGAUGCAGCAACGCCGCGUGCGGGAUGACGGCCUUCGGGUUGUAAACCGCUUUCGCCUGUGACGAAGCGUGAGUGACGGUAAUGGGUAAAGAAGCACCGGCUAACUACGUGCCAGCAGCCGCGGUGAUACGUAGGGUGCGAGCGUUGUCCGGAUUUAUUGGGCGUAAAGGGCUCGUAGGUGGUUGAUCGCGUCGGAAGUGUAAUCUUGGGGCUUAACCCUGAGCGUGCUUUCGAUACGGGUUGACUUGAGGAAGGUAGGGGAGAAUGGAAUUCCUGGUGGAGCGGUGGAAUGCGCAGAUAUCAGGAGGAACACCAGUGGCGAAGGCGGUUCUCUGGGCCUUUCCUGACGCUGAGGAGCGAAAGCGUGGGGAGCGAACAGGCUUAGAUACCCUGGUAGUCCACGCUGUAAACGGUGGGUACUAGGUGUGGGGUCCAUUCCACGGGUUCCGUGCCGUAGCUAACGCUUUAAGUACCCCGCCUGGGGAGUACGGCCGCAAGGCUAAAACUCAAAGGAAUUGACGGGGCCCCGCACAAGCGGCGGAGCAUGCGGAUUAAUUCGAUGCAACGCGUAGAACCUUACCUGGGUUUGACAUGGAUCGGGAGUGCUCAGAGAUGGGUGUGCCUCUUUUGGGGUCGGUUCACAGGUGGUGCAUGGCUGUCGUCAGCUCGUGUCGUGAGAUGUUGGGUUAAGUCCCGCAACGAGCGCAACCCUUGUUCACUGUUGCCAGCACGUUAUGGUGGGGACUCAGUGGAGACCGCCGGGGUCAACUCGGAGGAAGGUGGGGAUGACGUCAAGUCAUCAUGCCCCUUAUGUCCAGGGCUUCACGCAUGCUACAAUGGCUGGUACAGAGAGUGGCGAGCCUGUGAGGGUGAGCGAAUCUCGGAAAGCCGGUCUCAGUUCGGAUUGGGGUCUGCAACUCGACCUCAUGAAGUCGGAGUCGCUAGUAAUCGCAGAUCAGCAACGCUGCGGUGAAUACGUUCCCGGGGCUUGUACACACCGCCCGUCAAGUCAUGAAAGUUGGUAACACCCGAAGCCGGUGGCCUAACCGUUGUGGGGGAGCCGUCGAAGGUG
rnacentral:rRNA from 1 species